rnacentral:rRNA from 1 species
AACGAACGCUGGCGGCAGGCCUAACACAUGCAAGUCGAGCGAAUGAAGGUGGCUUGCUACCUGAUUCAGCGGCGGACGGGUGAGUAAUGCCUAGGAAUCUGCCUGGUAGUGGGGGACAACGUUUCGAAAGGAACGCUAAUACCGCAUACGUCCUACGGGAGAAAGUGGGGGAUCUUCGGACCUCACGCUAUCAGAUGAGCCUAGGUACGAUUAGCUAGUUGGUGAGGUAAAGGCUCACCAAGGCGACGAUCGUUAACUGGUCUGAGAGGAUGAUCAGUCACACUGGAACUGAGACACGGUCCAGACUCCUACGGGAGGCAGCAGUGGGGAAUAUUGGACAAUGGGCGAAAGCCUGAUCCAGCCAUGCCGCGUGUGUGAAGAAGGUCUUCGGAUUGUAAAGCACUUUAAGUUGGGAGGAAGGGCAGUAAGUUAAUACCUUGCUGUUUUGACGUUACCGACAGAAUAAGCACCGGCUAACUUCGUGCCAGCCGCCGCGGUAAAAC